UGACGUUUCCCAUUCACUUUUCAGUUGUAGCGCAACAGCAGAGGACUACGGAACAAUAUUUCGGACUAACUUUGAUCGAAAACCACUAAAUUAAUGUCUCAUAUGGCUACAUUUCUUAAGAAGUGUGGGUUUUAUUUCGCCUUCGACGAUAUUAUCGGACUUUUUUUUUUCGGUUCAAGCGAAGUUAUUAGCAGUUGAAAGCAAAGCUCGCGAAUAGCCUAUACUCGCUAGAAAUAGUCUAGCCGAUAUCUAAAAUGAAUAAUCUUAUUUUGUGGUUCAAUUAUAAUUUAAAGCUGAUUUCAAGGAGAAUGUGUAUAGAUUUACUUGUUUUUUUGUUCGUCCAGGAGACGGAGCAGGCAUGGAAUUCCAAUUGCUGCAUGCGCAAGUCUGGAAAAUGGAAGUCACCGCCUCCAGGAGGUUGAUCGGUUGGAAAUUCUCCAUGCAGUUUUCCCUUUCCCAAUUCCAGAUAAAACUACUUAACACAAUUAAUAUGUUCAAACUCAUAUGGAAAACUAACAGCGAAACAAAUGGCUGUUUACAAUGCAUACAAUGCAGAGUUGGACUUGUAUGUUUCUUAUUAUUUGCAGUAUGCAGAGCGUGUGUCAUUGCUGUGACUGGAUCCGACACCACUACCGUCACUUGAGUGCAUAAUUCCAUUCUCUGCUGGACCAGAUGGGAGGAGAUAUCACAAAGCAGAAUGCCCCUGUCCUUUUCUCAACAUCACUUUACAGACCCAUAGAUGCCGAGUUUGAGGACAAAGUCAGAUUCCGGAACGAGGUCAUCUAUAAAAUCACAAAACUGUUUGAUGGGAAUAAGAAGUCCGUCACCUGGGACAAGAAAAACCUGGACGAUUUACUUAAAAUUCUAGAAAACUAAUUUGAAAACCUUAAUUCCUGUGUAAGUAACGGGUCUAUUUAAAGUAUAAUCCCUGUUCAUGUCAGGGUUGUCCAAUCCCGUUUAUGUUGAGUUACCCUCCUGUAAGUUUUCGCUCCAACCCCAGUUGUAACUAACCUGGUUAAGUUUAUCAACUACCUAAUUAAUCAGGUGUGGUAGAUUAGGGUUGGAGUGAAAACCUACAGGAAUGUAGUUCUCCAGGAACAGGGUUGGAGAGCCCUGGUUUAGCUGUAGCCUACUGACUCUACAAGUGGAGAAAUGGACUUAUAAAGGACAUAUAAUGUGUUCAACUUUUUCCACAUUUUGUUACCUUACAGACUUUUUCUAAAAUUGAUUAAAUGGAU